AGUGCAAGAAUUGGCUUGGCUUAGAGUUGAGGUCACUGCUGGCUGAUGCACUCACAAGUACAGGUAGUGUGCUUACAUGAGGGGCAAGCUUUUCCCUAACACUCCAUUUUGGCCCAGUGAAUGGGGCUUGAUAGUAACCCUUGCUACAAGU
rnacentral:snoRNA from 1 species